ACUGCAGCCAUGGGGAUGGAUCCUAACAAGAUUCGCAAAGGGCAGCAGACUCUGAAGUUGGCUGAGGGCUGAGACUGGAAAUGGCUUUGGGUGGCUAAGCGGCUGGACUUUUCUGGUUGAAGAGACAACAAACAGUUCACUGAAACAUGAUAUGGAAAUUCAACUAAAUCAGAAUUGAAGAGUUGUCAUCACAGAUCAUUCUGCCUGGGCCACACCGCAAGUCAGAUCAUGAUGUUUUCCAAAGAAGGCACCUACCUUAAGGCUAAGUGGGUGCAAAUUCUGAAACUGGAAUGACAAUAGUUACUCAUCACAGCAGGAGAGUCAAAGGGGUUGCUUGGUUAUGUCCACUUGGCAUAAGAUCCUCUUGUUUACGCCAGGCUGAGAGAGUCAUUUGAACUCAUGCCCCUGGACUGGCCAUAGUGCAGAGUGCAGUUUAUGAGGCCCAUAUAAAUCAUCUCUAAUAAAGGAGCUUGCCGUUUCAA